GCGCCCGUAGCUCAGUGGAUAGAGCACUUGACUACGAAUCAAGGUGUCGCAGGUUCGACUCCUGCCGGGCGCGCCA
rnacentral:tRNA from 1 species